GAUGAACGCUGGCGGCGUGCCUAAUACAUGCGAGUCGAGCGAACAGACGAGGAGCUUGCUCCUCUGACGUUAUCGGCGGACGGGUGAGUAACACGUGGAUAACCUACCUAUAAGACUGGGAUAACUUCGGGAAACCGGAGCUAAUACCGGAUAAUAUAUUGAACCGCAUUGUUCAAUAGUGAAAGACGGUUUUGCUUUCACUUAUAGAUGGAUCCGCGCCGCAUUAGCUAGUUGGUAAGGUAACGGCUUACCAAGGCAACGACGCUUAGCCGACCUGAGAGGGUGAUCGGCCACACUGGAACUGAGAAACGGUACAGACUCCUACGGGAGGCAGCAGUAGGGAAUCUUCCGCAAUGGGCGAAAGCUUGACGGAGCAACGCCGCGGGAGUGAUGAAGGUCUUCGGAUCGUAAAACUCUGUUAUUAGGGAAGAACAAAUGUGUAAGUAACUAUGCACGUCUUGACGGUACCUAAUCAGAAAGCCACGGCUAACUACGUG
rnacentral:rRNA from 1 species